rnacentral:rRNA from 1 species
UACAGGGGGUGCAAACGUUGCUCGGAAUCAUUGGGCGUAAAGCGCACGUAGGCGGUUCGUUAUGUCGGAUGUGAAAUCCCUCGGCUUAACCGAGGAACUGCCCUCCAAACUGCUUUGCUUGAGGCCGGGAGAGGCGAGUGGAAUUCCCAGUGUAGCGGUGAAAUGCGUAGAUAUUGGGAGGAACACCAGUGGCGAAGGCGGCUCGCUGGACCGGUUCUGACGCUGAGGCGCGAAAGCGUGGGGAGCAAACGGG